UGGGGGAAUAUUGGACAAUGGGGGGCAACCCUGAUCCAGCAAUGCCGCGUGUGUGAAGAAGGUCUUCGGAUUGUAAAGCACUUUCGACGGGGACGAUGGUGACGGUACCCGUAGAAGAAGCCCCGGCUAACUUCGUGCCAGCAGCCGCGGUAAUACGAAGGGGGCUAGCGUUGCUCGGAAUGACUGGGCGUAAAGGGCGUGUAGGCGGUUUACACAGUCAGAUGUGAAAUCCCCGGGCUUAACCUGGGAGCUGCAUUUGAUACGUGUAGACUAGAGUGCGAGAGAGGGUUGUGGAAUUCCCAGUGUAGAGGUGAAAUUCGUAGAUAUUGGGAAGAACACCGGUGGCGAAGGCGGCAACCUGGCUCAUGACUGACGCUGAGGCGCGAAAGCGUGGGGAGCAAACAGGAUUAGAUACCCUGGUAGUCCACGCUGUAAACGAUGUGUGCUAGAUGUUGGGUAACUUAGUUAUUCA
rnacentral:rRNA from 1 species